rnacentral:rRNA from 1 species
UACGGAGGAUGCAAGCGUUAUCCGGAAUGAUUGGGCGUAAAGCGUGCGCAGGUGGCUGUGUAAGUCUGCUGUUAAAUAGUGAGGCUCAACCUCAUAAAGGCAGUGGAAACUACACGGCUAGAGUGCGUUCGGGGCAGAGGGAAUUCCUGGUGUAGCGGUGAAAUGCGUAGAGAUCAGGAAGAACACCGGUGGCGAAGGCGGCUUCCUGGACAAUAACUGACGCUGAGGCGCGAAAGCUAGGGGAGCAAACAGG